UUGGAGGGCAAGUCUGGUGCCAGCAGCCGCGGUAAUUCCAGCUCCAAUAGCGUAUAUUAAAGCUGUCGCAGUUAAAAAGCUCGUAGUUGAAUUUCGGGGUUAGUAGGUUGGUCAUGCUUCUGGUAUGUACUGGUCUCACUGACUCCUCCUUCCUGAUGAGCCGUAAUGCCAUUAAUUUGGUGUUGCGGGGAAUUUGGACUGUUACUUUGGAAAAAUUAGAGUGUUUAAAGCAAGCUAACGCUUGAAUACAUUAGCAUGGAAUAAUGAAAUAGGACGUUCGAUCCUAUUUUGUUGGUUUCUAGGAUUGACGUAAUGAUUAAUAGGGAUAGUUGGGGGCAUUAGUAUUCAAUUGUCAGAGGUGAAAUUCUUGGAUUUAUUGAAGACUAACUACUGCGAAAGCAUUUGCCAAGGAUGUUUUCAUUAAUCAAGAACGAAAGUUAGGGGAUCGAAGACGAUCAGGUACCGUCGUAGUCUUAACCAUAAACUAUGCCGACUAGGGAUCGGAUGAUGUUAAUUUUUUAAUGACUCAUUCGGCGCCUUACGGGAAACCAAAGUGUUUGGGUUC
rnacentral:rRNA from 1 species